AAAGAACUUUGAAGAGAGAGUUCAAUAGUACGUGAAACCGUAUAGGGGUAAACGGGUGGAAGCGCUAAAUCGGAUUGAAGAAUUCAAAUCAGCAUUAGCUCGUUAUGUGAUGCACUAUAUAGUUCUGCUAGUAGUGUUUGCUAUCACGUUCAAUGUUGGUUGCACUUUUUUCAAUUCGAGCGCCUCGACAGAUUGCUUUUUACGCGCACUAUAAAAGAGCUGACUAGGUACCGUGACAUGUACGGACUAAUAAGUUAGUUUUUAUGCGUAUAAAGCGAUCUUGGAUUGAAAGCAGUAUCAGCGCAAGCGAGAUGGGUGUUUAUAUAGUGGCUGUCGAUACUCCCUGGUGAGUUCAUUCUAACCGGGUCAUUAAGCAUUUAUUCUCAUGGUACUUUAGUCAGAGGCGAAUGGUCGUACAUCUACCCGACCCGUCUUGAAACACGGACCAAGGAGUCUAACAUGUGCGCGAGUCAUUGAGUUUUACGAAACUUAAAGGCGAAAUGAAAGUGAAGGCUAUCUAGAUAGCUUAGGUGUGAUCCAAUUUAUGGCGCAACACCGUCCGGUCAUAAUUGCUUAGCAAUAUGGCUGAGAAAGAGCGUACACGUUGGGACCCGAAAGAUGGUGAACUAUGCCUGAGCAGGAUGAAGCCAGAGGAAACUCUGGUGGAGGUCCGUAGCGGUUCUGACGUGCAAAUCGAUCGUCAAACUUGGGUAUAGGGGCGAAAGACUAA
rnacentral:rRNA from 1 species